AAUCAACGCUGGCGGCGUGCCUCAGACAUGCAAGUCGAACGAUUAAGACUUCCUUCGGGAAGUGUAUAAAGUGGCGCACGGGUGAGUAACACGUAGGUAAUGUGCCUUUGGGUGGGGAAUAACUUAGGGAAACUUAAGCUAAUACCGCAUAAUGCAGCGGCUCGACAUCGAGACAGUUGUUAAAGGAGUAAUCCGCCUAAAGAGCAGCCUGCGGCAGAUUAGCUAGUUGGUAAGGUAAUGGCUUACCAAGGCUACGAUCUGUAACCGACCUGAGAGGGUGGUCGGUCACACUGACACUGAAUAACGGGUCAGACUCCUACGGGAGGCAGCAGUCGGGAAUUUUGGGCAAUGGGCGAAAGCCUGACCCAGCAACGCCGCGUGAAGGAUGAAGUAUUUCGGUAUGUAAACUUCGUAAGAAUAGGAAGAAUAAAUGACGGUACUAUUUGUAAGGUCCGGCUAACUACGUGCCAGCCGCCGCGGUAACAC
rnacentral:rRNA from 1 species